GAAAUGCGAUAAGUAAUGUGAAUUGCAGAAUUCAGUGAAUCAUCGAAUCUUUGAACGCACAUUGCGCCCGCCAGUAUUCUGGCGGGCAUGCCUGUCCGAGCGUCAUUUCAACCAUCAAGCCCCCGGGCUUGUGUUGGGGACCUGCGGCUGCCCGCAGGCCCUGAAAACCAGUGGCGGGCUCGCUGUCACACCGAGCGUAGUAGCAAUCACCUCGCUCAGGGCGUGCUGCGGGUUCCGGCCGUUAAACAGCCUUACAAAACCCAAGGUUGACCUCGGAUCAGGUAGAAAGACCCACUGAACUUAAGC
rnacentral:misc_RNA from 1 species